rnacentral:tRNA from 1 species
CAGGGAGACAACAAAAUGUUUAAUAUUAUUAUUUUGUCACCUUAGGUCGAUCGGUAUCUCACGUUCUUAACUAAUUAAGAAUUUCAAUUUCUAAGUUUUUCUAGGUCACACCCAUCAUUUUCCUGGGCCAUUAGCUCAGGUGGUUAGAGCGCACCCCUGAUAAGGGUGAGGUCCCUGGUUCAAGUCCAGGAUGGCCCAUAUCUCUAUGUUGGGGGUAUAGCUCAGUUGGUAGAGCGCCUGCUUUGCAAGCAGGAUGUCAGCGGUUCGAGUCCGCUUACCUCCACUGAUUACCACCUCUUCCAUAAUCUGUAGUAGGGAAAUGUUUUGAGUUGUGAUCAAAUUCUGAACGAAUCUAGCUUCCUAAUGAAUGUAUUAAGAUGCUGGACUCAUUGAAUUAAUUUCAUUGUUUUCAGAGAACCUUGACAACUGCAUAGAUUAUUUUUUAAAGACAAUAAGCAUCUUUAGUGAUGCAGAUUUAUUAUUUAUGCAAAUGCAUUAAUAACAAUUCUAUUAAGCUGAUGCUUCAAUUUUGAAGUUAUU